AUGGGUAGGGGACAUAGUAGCAACAAAGACUUCAACUGGGAUGAGCUUGGGGUGGAAACCCAUGACUUGCACGACCUGGGUAACACCAUCACAGAAGAUGAGGUAUGGGCGGCAAUAAAAGAAAUGCCUAGUGAUAAGGUGCCAGGUCCAAAUGGCUUCACGAGGAUCUUCUUCAAGAAGUGUUGGGGAAUCAUCAAUCAUACGGUCAUGAGGGUCAUCCAGCAUUUCGACUCCCUUCAAACCUCCAACCUGCAAUGGGUGAAUUCCGCCAAUGUUGUUCUAUUGCCCAAAAAGGAGAGCGCGGAAGACAUCUCUGAUUAUAGACCUAUCAGUCUCAUCCAUGCCCUAGCCAAAAUUAUUGCCAAGGUCUUGUCGCUUCGGCUUGCUCCUCUCAUGGAUGACCUUGUCUCCAACGCAUAGAGUGCUUUCAUCAAGAGGCAUAGUAUCCAUGAUAACUUCAUGUGCAUUCGGAAUUUUGCUAGGCGGUUACACAAGUGCAAGACCCCUGCUCUGCUCUUCAAGCUAGACAUAAGAAAGGCCUUUGACUCCGUUAAGUGGGAAUACAUUUUGGAUCUCCUCCAGCGUAUGGGUUUCUUGGACAAGUUCCACGCUUGGAUUGUCGCGCUGCUUUCCUCGUCUUCGUCUUGA
rnacentral:rRNA from 1 species